rnacentral:rRNA from 1 species
GACGAACGCUGGCGGCGUGCUUAACACAUGCAAGUCGAACGGUAAGGCCCUUCGGGGUACACGAGUGGCGAACGGGUGAGUAACACGUGGGUGAUCUGCCCUGCACUUCGGGAUAAGCCUGGGAAACUGGGUCUAAUACCGGAUAGGACCACUGCCUGCAUGGGUGGUGGUGGAAAGCUUUUGCGGUGUGGGAUGGGCCCGCGGCCUAUCAGCUUGUUGGUGGGGUGCUGGGCUACCAAGGCGACGAAGGGUAGCCGGCCUGAGAGGGUGACCGGCCACACUGGGACUGGGAUACGGCCGAGACUCCUACGGGAGGCAGCAGUGUGGAAUAUUGCACAAUGGGCGCAAGCCUGAUGCAGCGACGCCGCGUGAGGGAUGACGGCCUUCGGGUUGUGAACCUCUUUCAGCACCGACGAAGCGCAAGUGACGGUAGGUGCAGAAGAAGGACCGGCCAACUACGUGCCAGCCGCCGCAGUAA